UUUGUUUAUUUAUUUAUUUAUUAAAAUUUAUUUGUUAUUUAUUUAUUAUUUAUUUUUGGCUGUGUUGGGUCUUCGUUUCUGUGCGAGGGCUUUCUCUAGUUGUGGCUACUCUUCAUCGCGAUGCGCGGGCCUCUCAUUAUUGCGGCGUCUCUUGUUGCGGGGCACAGGCUCCAGACGCGCAGGCUCAGUAGUUGUGGCUCACGGGCCCAGUUGCUCCGCGGCAUGUGGGAUCCUCCCAGACCAGGGCCCGAACCCGUGUCCCCUGCAUUGGUAGGCAGAUUCUCAACCACUGCGCCACCAGGGAAGCCCAGUGUAGCUAUUUAGAUUUAAAUUAAAUUAGAAGUUCAGUCUCUCAGUUGCACUAGCCGUAUUUCAAGGUCUCCGUGUGUGUUUGGAGGGUAGUGUCUGGCUAGUGGUAGCCAUCCUCGACAGAGCAGAUAGCCUAUCAUUGUAGAGAGUUGUGCUGGACAGUGCUGCCUUAAGGGCUGUCGGGGCCCUGGAGGAAGAUUGUAUAGGUGAGUGCUGGGCAGUAACAGGACCUGGCCUGCCUGUCCCCGUUCCACCUCGCCCAGGUCUGUCCAGAGACUUAGGCUCAGAGGGGAUGCCUGCAGACCAGCGAGGGUGCUCAAAGAGCUAGCAUCAGGGGGAUCUCAAAGCCAUGGAACCAGAGGGGCACCAAGAUGUUGCUGUCAUCAUCGCGUGGCCCAGCACCUGCCCAGGUGCCAAGGACAGAGUGCUUUAGAUGGCACUCCCAGUUUGACCAGCCUUUUGGAGCCACCCACCCCCCACCAGGCCAGUGGGGCUGGAGUUAGAAGACCUUCAGGAGGACCGUGUGUGGGCACCCACACUAGCCUGCCCUAGGCACCCGCAGGCAGGUCUACCAGCCACCUGCACACAGGGAUCUUAGUUCCCUGACCAGGGAUUGAACCUGGGCCCCAGGAGUGAAGGCACCGACUCCUAACCACUGGACCGCCAGGGAAUUCCCUGAUCCUGACUUUCAAGGGGCAGCAGGGCUUUGCUGCUGCUCAGGGGGGCCAGGAGGAGGACGCUGGAACUCAGGGCGUUCUCCUGAUGCCUCCCAGGACUCCCUGGUGGUACGGCAGAGGUCGCCGAGGCCGCAGCGCCAGUGCAGGCAGGGCCGCUCAGGGCUCUUCAGGAUGAAGGCUCCAGACACCCACCUAGGAAAGACCAGGACCUGAGGCAUUGGCUGAGGGUCAAGGAAAAUGAUAAACAUCAACUGCAGUAUUUUAUUCA